rnacentral:lncRNA from 1 species
AACAGCGGCUAGAGGCAUGCUGGAAAGCAAGUGACACAAAGAAGGCUCUUAAGGCCCUAGAUUCAUAUACCUUUCCCUCCUCCUUGGUCCCAAUACCUAGAUCUCUCCUCAAAGCCACCUCCUCCCUCAGUCUUUUGGGUCUCCAGGCCAAGGUUCUGCUCACACUCACACACUGCAGAAGCCCAAGGACUCCACGGAGUUAGACUCACUCUCCUCCCCCUCUCCCAGGCUGGGCUGGGAGGCGACUGUCUCAGGUCUGAACACACCCACCACCUACAGCUCUCUUCCCUAAGGACCAAGGCAUGGAUAACCAGAGGACAGAGGAAACUCAGACA